UGGCUUCUUAUUCAGCAUAACUGGAUCCCAUCCACUCAAGUUUAAAGAGGUUCCUUCCAUUAUCAUAAGUUAUCAUCUACCUCCCUGUUUUGUAGCAUAGUUCCUGGAUCAUGAUGAGCAAAAUAUUAGAGUGCGGAAAUUUAUGCCAUCUUUAGCCAUUACAAAACUAGGAAGCUAUUCCUCAGCAAAGUACUCCAAUAUAUAAAGGAAAGGCUUCUGGAUGCGAAGUAUGCAUGUGGCUUCUUAUUCAACAUAACUGGAUCCCAUCCACUUGAGUUUAUAGAGGACAAGCAUAACCUAAUGGAAGUUGUUCAAAUGUGUCACUGACUAAAGGCACUCCAACUUUCUAUGCAACGUGAUGUGAACUCGUCCUCCACUUAUCUAGAAAAUAUUCUCACAUAUUUGCUCCUUGCACUUUCACAUCAUCCUUCAUGUCCUAAUGUUGAUGAAUGCAAGGAGGUUCAAGCAUUUGAAUCAAUUUACUGGUAUCCUUACUCUGUUGCAUUUGUUGCUAUGUACAAUUUACUUGUCUUUUAAUUGCUCUAAAUGAGGAUUCUACAAGCCAAUAUCCAGUUACAUUUAAAUCUGUGUUUAUAUUUCCCUGUUCUGUGUAUGCAAUUUGGGAAAAUUGUGCAGGCA